UUCCGGUUGAUCCUGCCGGACCUGACUGCUAUCGGAUUGAUACUAAGCCAUGCGAGUCAUUGUAGCAAUACAAGGCAUACGGCUCAGUAACGCGUAGUCAACCUAACCUAUGGACGGGAAUAACCUCGGGAAACUGAGAAUAAUGCCCGAUAGAACACUAUACCUGGAAUGGUUUGUGUUCCAAAUGAUUUAUCGCCAUAGGAUGGGCCUGCGGCCUAUCAGUUUGUUGGUGAGGUAAUGGCCCACCAAGACUAUUACAGGUACGGGCUCUGAGAGGAGUAGCCCGGAGAUGGGUACUGAGACACGGACCCAGGCCCUAUGGGGCGCAGCAGGCGAGAAAACUUUGCAAUGUGCGAAAGCACGACAAGGUUAAUCCGAGUGGUUUCUGCUAAAGAAACCUUUUGUCAGUCCUAGAAACACUGAUGAAUAAGGGGUGGGCAAGUUCUGGUGUCAGUCGCCGCGGUAAAACCAGCACCUCAAGUGGUCAGGAUGAUUAUUGGGCCUAAAGCAUCCGUAGCCGGCUCUGUAAGUUUUCGGUUAAAUCUGUACGCUCAACGUACAGGCUGCCGGGAAUACUGCAGAGCUAGGGAGUGGGAGAGGUAGACGGUACUCGGUAGGAAGGGGUAAAAUCCUUUGAUCUAUUGAUGACCACCUGUGGCGAAGGCGGUCUACCAGAACACGUCCGACGGUGAGGGAUGAAAGCUGGGGGAGCAAACCGGAUUAGAUACCCGGGUAGUCCCAGCUGUAAACUAUGCAAACUCAGUGAUGCAUUGGCUUGUGGCCAAUGCAGUGCUGCAGGGAAGCCGUUAAGUUUGCCGCCUGGGAAGUACGUACGCAAGUAUGAAACUUAAAGGAAUUGGCGGGGGAGCACCACAAGGGGUGAAGCCUGCGGUUCAAUUGGAGUCAACGCCGGG
rnacentral:rRNA from 1 species